rnacentral:rRNA from 1 species
GAGGGACGAAGGCUUUUGGGUCGUAAACCUCUUUUCCCUGAGAAGAAGAUCUGACGGUAUCAGGGGAAUAAGCAUCGGCUAACUUCGUGCCAGCAGCCGCGGUAAUACGAGGGAUGCAAGCGUUAUCCGGAAUUAUUGGGCGUAAAGCGUCCGCAGGUGGCUCUGUAAGUCUGUCGUUAAAGAAUGGGGCUCAACCCCAUACAGGCGAUGGAAACUACAAGGCUAGAGUUUGGUAGGGGUCACGGGAAUUCCUAGUGUAGCGGUGAAAUGCGUAGAUAUUAGGAAGAACACCAGCGGCGAAAGCGCGUGACUGGGCCAGUACUGACACUCAUGGACGAAAGCUAGGGGAGCGAAAGGGAUUAGAUACCCCUGUAGUCCUAGCCGUAAACGAUGAUAACUAGGUGUUGCCCGUAUCGACCCGGGCAGUGCCGUAGCCAACGCGUUAAGUUAUCCGCCUGGGGAGUACGCACGC